rnacentral:rRNA from 1 species
UACGAAGGGUGCAAGCGUUAAUCGGAAUUACUGGGCGUAAAGCGUGCGUAGGUGGUUUGUUAAGUCUGCUGUGAAAGCCCUGGGCUCAACCUGGGAAUGGCGGUGGAUACUGACGAGCUAGAGUGCGGUAGAGGAGGGUGGAAUUCCCGGUGUAGCGGUGAAAUGCGUAGAGAUCGGGAGGAACAUCAGUGGCGAAGGCGGCCCUCUGGACCAGCACUGACGCUGAGGCACGAAAGCGUGGGGAGCAAACAGG